rnacentral:rRNA from 1 species
UACGUAGGUGACAAGCGUUGUCCGGAUUUACUGGGCGUAAAGAGCGCGCAGGCGGUCGUUCAAGUCGCGUGUGAAAGCCCCCGGCUCAACUGGGGAGGGUCACGCGAUACUGAUCGACUCGAAGGCAGGAGAGGGAAGUGGAAUUCCCGGUGUAGUGGUGAAAUGCGUAGAUAUCGGGAGGAACACCAGUGGCGAAGGCGACUUCCUGGCCUGUUCUUGACGCUGAGGCGCGAAAGCUAGGGGAGCAAACGGGG